rnacentral:lncRNA from 1 species
UGGCGGGUUUUCGUGGACUGCCUAUUAGAGGGGCACGGUAAACCCAGUUAUAUAGUUACUUCGGUAGUAGAGGCGAGGAGGGUAACUCCCAGGGUAGUGUUAGAGUUCACUUCACGUCGAACCCCCAUGUGAAUGUGUAACUCGGCCAACGUCAAGGAACGGCUUGUUUUCAAAACUAACAUGUGUUUAACAUGUAAAUAUCUUAACAACCUUGGCGGACUCGGUUAGAUGCCUCAGCCAAGGUAUCCCCGAGGAUUAGUUUUGGCUUAAGCCUUGUUUUUAAUAAAAGUUAGAAGCCUUAACAACUGUUUUGGUAAAUUACAAAUAUUUUACGGUUUAAGAAAUAAAUUGAAAACCUUAUGAAAUGGUUUGUAAUUUGUUGUUUAAAUUUG